ensembl:lncRNA
CAGGCAGAAGCCUCCUGUGAACCAUUACUGAUGGUCAUAUGGACGAGGGGACUUCUCUAUUUCAGUUUUUUUUUAAGUAACGGUCUUAAAUAAGAUUUAGUUACAGAUAAUAGAAUACAAGAGGUUCUACUAAGUGGGGCAGUUGUGGUUGUGCCAAACAAAAUGGAAAUUAAGAUAACAGAAAUAGAAAGAAUUAGAACGAAACUAAUUGGCUUCCCUUCUCUAAGAACGUCCAUCAAAAUACAGAGGGAGCACCAACCACUAACCUGGAGUCCCUACGUGAUGCACACGUGUACAAGCAGGGCCCUCAGGUGAUUGGCGGCUCUCUUCAGGAACUCAGGUGCAGGCAGAUCGGCACCUGAAGGGAAAAACAAGGGAGGAGGGGCAACACAGACAGUAGUGACACGGACGUUAGUUUUCUCUUCCAGUCAUUCGGGGUCAGGAUGGCUGCAGAGUUACUUACGGUUCCUCUUGGAUCUUCUGGAUUAAACGGAUCCACCUUGGAGAUGCACUACAGAUACACCCCCCCCCAGAACCAAUGAGGGGUCACAGCAGACCAGAGGGCCUUCUGCUUUACCGACAGGGAG